rnacentral:misc_RNA from 1 species
GCUUGAAAUUGGCGAACUGUGCCUAUUGUUGAUAUUUUGGUCAUUAUGAUAUUUAUAUUAUUGGACAUUCAAGUGGCAAGGAUCUGGUAAUCUGCCACUAUGGCAGUGCUUGAAAAAUUUUGGGUUUGGUGUUUGAAAUCAUAGAAUGGAUUGAGAAUUUAGAGUUUGGAAAAAGUCAAAUGAUUUAAAAAGCUUUUACCAUGGUGUUAAAAUGUUUGAAAAGUUUGUUAGGUGAAGUUAUUAGUGAUAAUCAACCUGAUCAUUGCAG